ACGUGAAGAGUCAGAGAAAAAAAACACAGAUUUAAACAUAGGAAACACAUAAAUCAGCUUGUGCUACUACUGAAUUAGCAUUUGCUAGUUUUGGUUUCUCCACUUAUAUCUAUUUGAAGGUGCAUUGCUGGCCAACAGUUGCCAAUGGCCUCUAAUAUCACAUCUUCACCACAAUUAGGGCCAACAAUUGGUGUUAUAUAUGCAUUCAGUUGGUGAUAUUCCACUUGUACAUGUUCUUACUCUCUCUCUGCAUUAUUCAAAAUAUUUAUCAAGAUUUGCAAGAAAAUUUUGGGCAUCCUACUACCGCAUAGCUAUGCAUCCUAGGUCACCUUUGGGAGAAAGCAAGCUUGGCCAGGUUAUGGAAUGGAGUCCAUGGAUGGUUGGAAAUUCCACUUGAUUUUGCCGGUGCAUAUAUGAUUGCAGUCGACCACUACUCACCUUUGAUGUAGGGUCACGGUUGUAUCACCCUUGCAUGAUAUGAAUUGUGGUAUCUUCAGUUCAGGUUCUGAUGUAAAUCUAGUAUUUUUGAGAAAUUUUUUGUAUAAGAACUUUGUUGCAAUACCUCAAUAAAUGAAGUUACAAAUUGCUCUCAA